rnacentral:rRNA from 1 species
GAUGAACGCUGGCGGCGUGCCUAAUACAUGCCAGUCGAGCGAACAGACGAGGAGCUUGCUCCUCUGACGUUAGCGGCGGACAGGUGAGUAACACGUGGAUAACCUACCUAUAAGACUGGGAUAACUUCGGGAAACCGGAGCUAAUACCGGAUAAUAUAUUGAACCGCAUGGUUCAAUAGUGAAAGGCGGUUUUGCUGUCACUUAUAGAUGGAUCCGCGCCGCAUUAGCUAGUUGGUAAGGUAACGGCUUACCAAGGCAACGAUGCGUAGCCGACCUGAGAGGGUGAUCGGCCACACUGGAACUGAGACACGGUCCAGACUCCUACGGGAGGCAGCAGUAGGGAAUCUUCCGCAAUGGGCGAAAGCCUGACGGAGCAACGCCGCGUGAGUGAUGAAGGUCUUCGGAUCGUAAAACUCUGUUAUUAGGGAAGAACAAAUGUGUAAGUAACUAUGCACGUCUUGACGGUACCUAAUCAGAAAGCCACGGCUAACUACGUG